rnacentral:tRNA from 1 species
CAGAGAAUAGUUUAAUAAAAAUAUUAAUUUUGGAGAUUAAUGAUAAAAGGUUACUUUUUUCUCUGA